AGUGGCGAACGGGUGAGUAACACGUGGGCAAUCUGCCCUGCACUCUGGGACAAGCCCUGGAAACGGGGUCUAAUACCGGAUAUGAUCACCGGCCGCAUGGUCUGGUGGUGGAAAGCUCCGGCGGUGCAGGAUGAGCCCGCGGCCUAUCAGCUUGUUGGUGGGGUGAUGGCCUACCAAGGCGACGACGGGUAGCCGGCCUGAGAGGGCGACCGGCCACACUGGGACUGAGACACGGCCCAGACUCCUACGGGAGGCAGCAGUGGGGAAUAUUGCACAAUGGGCGCAAGCCUGAUGCAGCGACGCCGCGUGAGGGAUGACGGCCUUCGGGUUGUAAACCUCUUUCAGCAGGGAAGAAGCGCAAGUGACGGUACCUGCAGAAGAAGCGCCGGCUAACUACGUGCCAGCAGCCGCGGUAAUACGUAGGGCGCGAGCGUUGUCCGGAAUUAUUGGGCGUAAAGAGCUCGUAGGCGGCUUGUCGCGUCGGAUGUGAAAGCCCGGGGCUUAACCCCGGGUCUGCAUUCGAUACGGGCAGGCUAGAGUUCGGUAGGGGAGAUCGGAAUUCCUGGUGUAGCGGUGAAAUGCGCAGAUAUCAGGAGGAACACCGGUGGCGAAGGCGGAUCUCUGGGCCGAUACUGACGCUGAGGAGCGAAAGCGUGGGGAGCGAACAGGAUUAGAUACCCUGGUAGUCCACGCCGUAAACGUUGGGAACUAGGUGUGGGCGACAUUCCACGUUGUCCGUGCCGCAGCUAACGCAUUAAGUUCCCCGCCUGGGGAGUACGGCCGCAAGGCUAAAACUCAAAGGAAUUGACGGGGGC
rnacentral:rRNA from 1 species